GAGGGGUCUUUUAACGCAGAUUUUUCCUUUUUGAUUAUCUUGUAAAUUUUUUUUUUUUGCUUUCUUAAGAUCAAAGAAAAAGCAAUUAGAAAUGGCAGAUCAACUUACCGAUGAUCAGAUCUCCGAAUUUAAGGAAGCCUUUAGUUUGUUCGACAAAGAUGGAGAUGGUUGCAUUACCACAAAGGAGCUUGGUACUGUGAUGAGAUCGCUGGGACAGAACCCCACUGAGGCGGAACUCCAGGACAUGAUUAACGAAGUUGAUGCUGAUGGGAAUGGAACUAUUGAUUUCCCUGAGUUUCUGAAUCUUAUGGCUAGGAAGAUGAAAGACACCGACUCCGAGGAGGAGCUGAAAGAAGCCUUUAGAGUUUUUGACAAGGAUCAGAAUGGUUUUAUUUCUGCUGCUGAAUUGCGCCAUGUGAUGACAAACCUUGGCGAGAAGCUUACUGAUGAAGAAGUUGAUGAAAUGAUAAGGGAGGCAGAUGUUGAUGGUGAUGGCCAGAUAAAUUAUGAGGAAUUUGUGAAAGUCAUGAUGGCAAAGUGAUCAUCCUAUUGCCACCAAAACUAAAAUGGAAACGUUUCCUAUUUUCUUUUUUAUUUUAAUUUUUUUUGGAUUUUUGUUUGAUGAUUUUGAAUCAACCUCUUAAAAGGUAGUUGUGAUCUAUCCAUGGUAGUUGAAUGUUGGGUGUUACUUUUAAUGUGAUGUUUCUAAUGUCUUUCUAAACUCGAUUGCCUUUGGCAGUUUGUUUUGUUUUUCUAGUCUCUAUGAACUUGAACUUACCUUGGAGGAUUCAAUGCAAUCUAUUGGAUUUUUGGAUUAUCUGUUUCUUUGUCUGGUUCUACAACUAGUUCCUUGGUGUACAUUAAUGCUUUAGUUAUGUUGUAAUGUUGGUAUGUCCUAUGCUUCUGUUUGGUAACUACACUAAGUCUAUUGAUUUGAAUUUGUUUACAUAAGUUGCAUUGUAUCUCACUAGGCUGUUUUCUUUGGAGACUGCAACUUUUGAGUUUCUUAUUAGGACUGGAUGUAUGCUUGAAAAUUAUUCUAGCAAAAUU
rnacentral:misc_RNA from 1 species